AGGCUCGCGGAGCCGGUAACGUGACCUGAGGGUGCUGACCUUGGUGCUGUGCCCGUUGGAGCGGCCAUUCGUGGCCCGAGGCGCCACCUGAGGCCCGAAACAUUUAAAUUCCAUAGGCUCCUGAUGGCCGCAGAUCCCACAAAUCCCGACGGGCAUGGAUUGGUUGUGGCAAGAAGCGGGUCACAAUAGUCCUCGGCGUUGUACCUGCCAGGGGUGGCCCAGAGCAAGAAAGGGAGGCGGCGACGGAGGAGGGUCGGUGUGCACCCCGGACGAAAGCUCCCCGCCGUCCAGAGUGGAGGGGCAUCCCGGAGUCACCAGCAGACGGCACCGGCUUCAGGUAGCUGGGGGCUCCUGAUGCCGCCUCCUCCAAGAAGCUCUGCAUCCGAGUCCUGGAGCCAGGCAGGACUUCUUGGUGGUUGUCUUGGAAAGAGACCAACAAUUGUCAGUACGACAACACGGGGCAUUUCUCUUCUCAUUGAGUCUUGCAGCCGACCACACAGCUGUAUAUGGUUAUCUUCCCCUGGGGGCAAGGACAUGAGCUGAACAUCAGUUGAGUAAAAGAGCAAAGACAGAUGAGCAGAGAGGAUCAGUGAACAAGAACAAAGCUGUGUACAUACAUGUUUCUCCAUCUUGGAAAGAAAGAAAAGGGCCCAUCAUGGCAAAUGUGGAACAUCUCGAGGCCAGUAUGUUGACAUCUGAUCGGUCUCAUCCAAAACUAUACCCUCUGUCACAUACACAAACACCCUGAAGUACUGGGCCUCCAGCUUGCUCUCGGACAAGAGAGGGCAGGUUAAGUUUGUGUGAUGUAACUAGAAAGGGCUGAGCCUCUUUCCACUAGAGCAAGGCCCAUUAUUGGCAACUGGUGGUCACCCACCAUUUCUAUCUAACUUCUGCUUAUAGUUGCUGAGAUAUUGUUUCUUUCAUUAGAAGAAAGUGAGUGGUUGGUGAUCCAACACUUCUGUCUCCAAAGAAACCCUGGGCGUGUGUCAAAGGUGCCCCAAGGUGAAACUGCUGCUUGCCAUCCUCAUGCCAGAGGAAAAUGUUGAAUACAAGUGGAGACAACGGACACACUUGCCAGGUUCUGGGUCUCAGGGGAAAGUAUCCAGUGAACUAACUGAAGGGUUCUGUGGAUGCGCUUCAACACAUUAAGGACACUCCCUCCAAUUCCUAUUUUGCUAAGAGAUUUUUCGAAAGGGGUAUUGAAUAUUGUCAAUUACUUUGUACACAGAUUUGAGAUAAUGAUAUGGCUUUUAUCCUUCUCUUAAUAAGGUGAAUUAUGUUGAUUUUAAAAUAUUAAAUCAACUUUGCAAUUCUGGGACCCCCCCCAAGAGGUGGUCAUGUUAGAUCAUAUGUAAUUAUUGUACCUUUUUGAUAAACUGGCCCUUUUAUCAGUA